rnacentral:rRNA from 1 species
AACGCGAAGAACCUUACCUGGAUUUGACAUCCCCUGACAGCCCCAGAGAUGGGGUCUCGGUAGCAAUACCGCAGGGAGACAGGUGCUGCAUGGCUGUCGUUAGCUCGUGUGGUGACAUGUUGGGUUAAGUCCCGCAACGAGCGCAACCCUUGUCCUUAGUUGCCAGCAUUUAGUUGGGCUCUCUAAGGAGACUGCCGUGGUUAACACGGAGGAAGGUGGGGAUGACGUCAAGUCCUCAUGGCCUUUAUGUCCAGGGCGACACACGUGAUACAAUGGACGGUACAGAGGGACGCCAAGAGGUAACUCGGAGCUAAUCUCAAAAAGCCGUUCUCAGUUCGGAUUGGAGUCUGCAACUCGACUCCAUGAAGUUGGAAUCGCUAGUAAUCGCGGAUCAGCACGCCGCGGUGAAUACGUUCCCGGGCCUUGUACACACCGCGAGC